UGCUUACUUGAGAGUUCAAAACACAAUAAUACGUUUUAUUCUUACAGAAGUAUUGUUUUUGUAAAAUGGCGGACGGAGCAGAAAGUACGUUUAAUCCACAAAACCCAAAUAAUUUUAAUGUUGAAGCAAAGUUUCUUUUAAUACCUGGCUUUGUCAUAGUAUGUUUAGCUCUAUUCUUAGUUUAUCGCUUGCUAACGAGCUAUAAAAAAAAGGAGCUUGAAAAGCUUGAAAAGAAGAGAAAAAAGGAAGAAAAGAAAAAGAAAUGAUUUUAUUUAAAGUUAUAACUGAAUUGUAAUAUAGUCAAGAAUAAAAGUAUAAACAGUUAAUAGGUUUAGUUUAUAUAUAAUUCCAAAGCAUAUUGGUAAAUGCCUGAUGUGUCCUAAGCCAUCGCUUUUAGAACAAGUUUAAUGAAUAAAAAUUUACAAUUUAUGUGGAUAGUGUGGUAUUUAGUUUUUCAAUAUAGAAUAUUUAAUGUAUUUUUUUGAAUUAGAUAUAUUUUUUCAAA
rnacentral:lncRNA from 1 species